rnacentral:rRNA from 1 species
CCUACGGGUGGCUGCAGUGGGGAAUUUUGGACAAUGGGGGCAACCCUGAUCCAGCCAUUCCGCGUGAGUGAAGAAGGCCUUCGGGUUGUAAAGCUCUUUCGGCCGGGAAGAAAUCGUGCGGGCCAAUACCCUGUAUGGAUGACGGUACCGGAAGAAGAAGCACCGGCUAACUACGUGCCAGCAGCCGCGGUAAUACGUAGGGUGCGAGCGUUAAUCGGAAUUACCGGGGGCGGUUGUUGAGGAGGGGUGUGAAAUCCCCGGGCUUAACCUGGGAACUGCGCUUGUGACUGCAAGACUUGAGUGCGGCAGAGGGGGGUGGAAUUCCACGUGUAGCAGUGAAAUGCGUAGAGAUGUGGAGGAACACCGAUGGCGAAGGCAGCCCCCUGGGUCGACACUGACGCUCAUGCACGAAAGCGUGGGGAGCAAACAGGAUUAGAUACCCGUGUAGUC